rnacentral:rRNA from 1 species
CGGAGCAUUGAGAGCUUGCUUUUAAUGCUUAGUGGCGAACGGGUGAGUAACGCGUGAGGAACCUGCCUCAAAGAGGGGGACAACAGUUGGAAACGACUGCUAAUACCGCAUAAGCCCACGGGACCGCAUGGUCCAGAGGGAAAAGGAGCAAUCCGCUUUGAGAUGGCCUCGCGUCCGAUUAGCUAGUUGGUGAGGUAACGGCCCACCAAGGCGACGAUCGGUAGCCGGACUGAGAGGUUGAACGGCCACAUUGGGACUGAGACACGGCCCAGACUCCUACGGGAGGCAGCAGUGGGGAAUAUUGCACAAUGGGGGAAACCCUGAUGCAGCGACGCCGCGUGGAGGAAGAAGGUCUUCGGAUUGUAAACUCCUGUUGUUGAGGACGAUAAUGACGGUACUCAACAAGGAAGUGACGGCUAACUACGUGCCAGCAGCCGCGGUAAAACGUAGGUCACAAGCGUUGUCCGG